rnacentral:lncRNA from 1 species
AUGAAAUCAGGAAGGAAUACUCAAACAACCUCAACCAUAUCUGUUAAGUUUUCAAAAAACUGGAGCAAACCUUGGCAUUUUGUCUUGCUUUCAUACAGCUGUGUGGUGAGUGGAUGCAAGGGGAUUCAUGUUUUGUUAUUUUCAGCAGAGGGCUGCCCUACUUCAGACAGAACUAUUCACAUCACUGUCAAUGUGAAGGGUAUCCUAUGGAGCCAUGUGGUCCACAGCCUGCCUGGUAAUAUGAAGCAGUCUUAAAAGCUACAUGUUGUAGCAGAAAGAACGGAGACUUCAGAAUUCUAGUUUCACCUCCUAGUAACAUGUCUUAGGUAUGUUCUGUUUAACAAAUAUGUAUGUGGUCCAUAUUUGUACAUUUUUUCGGUAUGACACAUAUUAUUAUUUAAUCUGCUUGAAGCAAUGUACUUAACUUCUAGAAACUCCUGUUUUCUUACUCGUAAAAUGUUAAUAAUGUAUUCUCCCUUGCAGGGUUAAUGAAAGAAAUAGAGAAAAAACAUGAGAAGCGUGUACCACCAAGUAAACAUUCACUGAAUGGUACCUAUUUUAGUCACUUAGAAAAAUCCUCAUAGAUUUUAAACAGACUAGCCUCGAGUUAUACAAAUAAGCACUAUUAAUGGCAGAAAUGAAAGUAGUUAACUCCAAAGGAUUAAUUCACUGCUGAAGACAGUAUUUUUCAUGAAUCAACAAAAGGGCUUCUGAAAGAUUUCAGACUAUCUAGUCUUUGGUCAUGAAUUCUGUUUAAAACAAGAAAGUUGAGCCAAAGAAGCAAAAGAAUGAGGAGGAGGGGUAGGAGGAGGAGGGAGAGGAGGAUGAGGAAGUCAGGAAUGGAUGGACAGGGUGAGAGAAGGAGAAGAAAGAAAGAAAACAGAGAGAGAAGAAAGAAGUAAAGAGAAAGAAAAAAAAGAAAGAGAAAAAGAAAGAAAGAAAGAAAGAAAGAAAGAAAGAAAGAAAGAGAAAGAAGAAGAAGGAAAGGAAGGAAGGAAAGAAAGAAACAAAAAGGAAGGAAGGAAACAAAGGAAAUGAAGGAAAAGGAAGCAGGAAAGACAGAACGAUGGAUUUGACUCUGGAAGAUUAAAGAAAUAUAUGCAGUGUGAAUUGAUUAGAAGAAAAUCAAGUGUCUAUAAUAGGUGAAGGAUAUAAAACCAAGGAUAAGAGGAAAUCUGCUAUCAGAAGAGAAGGAAGUAUUAAAGGGUAGUUGCAUAACUUGUGUCAGUAAAGGAUGACUUGGUGAACCCACUCAGCUGGGUGGGAUGGUCACUAUGAUAGUAUUUCAAUAGACAGACCUUUCAGGGACAAAAGCAGACCCCCGCCCCCCGCCACUAAUUGCCUUUUUCUGACAUGGAAAUAUGGGGCAAGUUUAUGUUACCUCCAGUCCAUUGGGUUACUCACCUUCUGAGAAUAGUGUGACCCUAGUGACAGAGUAUCUUUCACAAAAGCCCUAAUGUUGGCCAAACUGUCAUACCACUGCUAACCUCCAUCUGAUUUCCACCCUCAGAGCACCUCUGAAAGGAAGAGGAGUUCCAAGAAAGUGAGGCAGGGAAGCAGUGGUAUGCCUUCUUCCUAUUGAGUUAAGUACUGAUUUAUAAUGAAAUAACCUCAUUGUUAGAUUUGUCUGUCUAAUUUUUUAAACAAACACUACCAGAAUUUUUUUAAUUGUAUGACAAAAUUUUUAAUUGUAUGACGAAAUGACAUAUUUAUUCAGCAAUACUAAGUUGCAUUAACUUGGAAUGUUGUUUUCUUUAUUGUUUUUAAAAGAGAUCCUUUUAAAAGGUACCCACUGUAAAUAUUUAAUGCAUACAGUAUGUAACGUCUAGUGAAAAGAGGAAACUGUGAUCUUGAAUUUGGAGUCAGGCAGAGGGCUGCUGCAAUACUCCUGUGAUUCAGUGUCAAGACAGAAAGCCACACUUCAGCAGCUUUUCCUCAGAUUCCUUCUCAUGGAGACAAUGCCCUUUUAACUACAAAGAAGUGGAAAUUCGUGUUAAGCUUUUCAAUGCAAUUAUCGAAACCUGUAGGUGAUACUCCUAACCCUCUGGUUUAUAGAUUUUGGUUUUAUCUUUUUAAGAGAAUUUCCAGCUGAGUGUAUAGUCUACCAAAUAAAAAGUGUGUUCAUUUUUAUGGCACACUUGAAUGUUUUCUAUUCCUUUCCUCUUCCUUUUGCUCCUCUUGGAUAGGUUUGACGCGGUUCCAUGUAAAAAAUGGGCCAAAAUCAUGAAGGUCUUUAAUUCUUACUGAUUUUUUCCAUUCCUUAACAACUAUAAUCAGAGUCAAUUUAAACAAAUUUUUAAGCUAGGUUGCUUUUUUCUUUCUUCUGAAAGAUGAAAAGGUCCAUCCUUACUUAGAGAAUUUUAAUCGGAGGUAUUCCUCUCAUGUAUUGUACACUAUUUCUUUUUAUGAAAUUUAGAAAACAGCAAAAAGUCACUGACAAUAAAUCUAAAGAUACAAAAAGUACAAAAUCUUCAAGCAUAAUUAAGAUAAAAUUAGAUGAGUAAGAAAGUAACAUCAAAACAGAAAAGCAGUUUCUACAUGAGGCCAAAAAAUAUUUUUAAAAAUAAUUAAAUACAAAAUAAUGAAAUGAGAAGGGAAGUAUAAAAAACACAUUUAUAAGAAAUCAAUACAGUUAGUGUAUAACAACUCUUAAAAGAGAUGUAUACCAGAAGAGGCAGAAACUAUAACAGUAGUUCUUUGUGAUACCCUAUUUCUAAGUGUUUUCUUUAAGAAUGAGGCUUUAAUUAUCAAAGGAAUGUUUAAAAUGAAUUACUACAUACAUGUAUUACCUAAAACAGUCUAUUGUGAAUACUAUAUAUCAAUCAUUUUAUACCUUUGAAGAUUAUACUUUGACAUCCUCAAAGUGAUCAAGAGGAAUCAAAUUCAAACCCCAGGGUAUAAACAGUAACAGGGAAAGGUCAGGUUGAAUUUUUUUUUUCCGUGUUUGUAAUGGUGAGAGUGGGUUUAAUUCUUGAUGGAACAAAGUGAACCUUUAUUUUGAUAGUUUCUCUUCUUUAGAAAAUUGGAUGAAAACAGCUGACUUACAGCAGGCGAGAGAAUUUCUAGCUGUAAGGAACAUACAUAAUGCUUAAUCAAAUUUUUCAUGGCUUAAAAAGUGUCACACAAUUCUAUAUAGAUAGGGUAGAAUGCCAGCUGGCUUGGGCACAAAGCUCCUAGCUUUGUUGAAAACAUCCACAUGCAGUGAAAAUGUGACAUUUCUUUCAAUAUCUUCCUCUCUCUUUUUCAGUAUACUGCAAACAUUUUGAUUAUGGGUUUCACCCCAUGAGCUGCCCGGUUUACUAAUAACAUUACAAAUACUGUAGUUCUAAAGUCCUUGGCUUGUUUUAACUGGCAUAACCUGUUUAUUCUUCUUCCAAGAAAUAUUUUAUGUCUAACUUUCUUCAAAUUCUGAUGCAUACUGAUAACAAAAGGAUCUCUGGUACUUUUUGUGUUUCAGAUUAGAAAAGAAAAAAAAAAGAUAUUCACACAUCGUGUAUAGUCCAAAACACGCAAAAAAAGGCUUCAAGCAUCUGGUUUGCUGUAGCUUUCAGAAUGCUCAGCCUUUAAAGGAGAUUCUUUUCAAAAGGACUUUAACAAUAGAAUAAAUUAAAGGAAUAAACAUUUAUAUUAUGAGAAAAUAAACAACUUUUUAAAAGCAUUUACUUUCUUUUAGUCACCAUGUACAGUAAUUUUUUUCGUGUUUUUAUUUAGAAACUAGUGACUAGAAAGUUCUUAUUUUAGGUAACUGCAAUAAUAUUUUCUUGGUUAAUUAAAAUGGUACUCUAGAUUAGAAAUUGAUGAUGACAUGGUUUGUUAAUCUUACACUAUGUUUAGCUUUCAACUGAAAAAUAACAUGCCAUUAGUCUUCAUUAUUACAUGGCCCAGAAAUAGUAACACAGGUAUUUUUUUUCCUUUUUUUCAAUUUCUAAAAUAUGUCUCUGUUUUAAUUAUGAAGCACUUAUAAAAUUAAUUCUUUCUUCAUAUAAAGAAAAAGUUGCAACAUCAAAUUCAAGAUUUAGAGAUUUGUCGAUCUUUGCUGAAAUAAUUUUGCAACAAAAUAUUGAAAUAAUCGAAAUCUAAUUGUAUAGAUGAAAUAAAAACAUAUAAAUGUGUGUUGAGAUCCCUAAUGUUUGAUUUUUUUUUUUUAAAGCUAAUUGCUGCCUUGGUAAUUAUAGGUACUUCGGAUUUAGUUGUUGAUCACACUGUUUUUUGUUUUGUUUUGUUUCUUUCUUUUUUUUUUUUUUGAGACAGAGUCUUACUCUGUUGCCAGGCUGAAGGUGCGCCAUCUCAGCUCAUUGCAACCUCUGUCUCCCGGGUUCAAGUGAUUCUCCUGCCUCAGCCUCCCGAGUAGCUAGGAUUACAGGUGCGUACCACCACAACCAGCUAAUUUUUGUAUUUUUAGGAGAGACAGAGUUUCACCGUGUUGGCAAGGAUGGUCUCCAACUCCUGACCUUGUGAUCUGCCCACCUUGGCUUCCCAAAGUGCUGGGAUUACAGGCGUGAGCCACCACGCCUGGCCCACACUGGUUUUUUAAAGGUUGUGUAGCUAUAUUGUGCUAAGGCAUUCCUUUAAUAAAAAAAUUAUAAAAUUUUUAACUUCUAAAUAUCCUAUAUAUGAAUUAGC